rnacentral:rRNA from 1 species
AUUGAACGCUGGCGGCAGGCCUAACACAUGCAAGUCGAACGAGUGGCGGACGGGUGAGUAAUGUCUGGGAAACUGCCCGAUGGAGGGGGAUAACUACUGGAAACGGUAGCUAAUACCGCAUACCAUCGGAUGUGCCCAGAUGGGAUUAGCUUGUAGGUGAGGUAAAGGCCUACCAAGGCGACGAUCCGUAACUGGUCUGAGAGGAUGAUCAGGCACACUGGAACGGGGAAAAGGGCCAGAACCCUACGGGAGGCAGCAGUGGGGAAUAUUGGGCAAUGGGCGAAAGCCUGAUCCAGGCAAGCCGCGUGUGUGAAGAAGGGCUUCGGAUUGUAAAGCACUUUAAGUUGGGAGGCGUUACCAACAGAAUAAGCACCGGCUAACUUCGUGCCAGCCGCCGCGGUAAUAC